AUGCGUGAGAUGGAUGUAUUAGGUCCUGGGGGCACUUUUAAAGUUAUAUUCUCCAUAGAUAUAUGGAAAGAGCUGAGGCGAGCCAGAGUCAGCCAGAGAGGACUCCUGGAACUUCUUGUUCAAGGAACCAAGCUGAGAGAAACCAGACAGCUAAAGACUCAAAUGAUGAAUCCUAGCAGGUGAGAAGAAGCCAGAUUGACAGUGGCCAAGGAAGAUAAGAACUCUGAGACCAAAGCCCCUGACACUUCUUCUCCACCAGUAAGUAAUGGAGAUCACAAUCUUUUAGACACUAUCUUGGAGAGGAACUGGGGAGAGGUAGAAAAAAAGUCUUACAACUUUUGGAUUUCACCAGCUUUAUGACUGAAUAGAGUUAAAAUUGCUUUCCCCCUGCAUUGACCGGUUACUGGGUGCUCUUGAUGAGGACUCAAUUAGUUAUUGAAAAAUAAAGAAGCUUUAUUUUCUAUACA
rnacentral:lncRNA from 1 species